rnacentral:rRNA from 1 species
GGGGUGCUCGAGUGGCGAACGGGUGAGUAACACGUGGGUGAUCUGCCCUGCACUUCGGGAUAAGCCUGGGAAACUGGGUCUAAUACCGGAUAGGAGCCAUUUUUAGUGUGACGGUUGGAAAGUUUUUCGGUGUAGGAUGAGCUCGCGGCCUAUCAGCUUGUUGGUGGGGUAAUGGCCUACCAAGGCGGCGACGGGUAGCCGGCCUGAGAGGGUGGACGGCCACAUUGGGACUGAGAUACGGCCCAG